AUUGAACGCUGGCGGAAUGCUUUACACAUGCAAGUCGAACGGCAGCACGGACUUCGGUCUGGUGGCGAGUGGCGAACGGGUGAGUAAUGUAUCGGAACGUGCCCAGUCGUGGGGGAUAACGUAGUGAAAAUUACGCUAAUACCGCAUACGAUCUAUGGAUGAACGCGGGGGAUCGCAAGACCUCGCGCGAUUUGAGCGGCCGAUAUCAGAUUAGGUAGUUGGUGGGGUAAAGGCCCACCAAGCCAACGAUCUGUAGCUGGUCUGAGAGGACGACCAGCCACACUGGAACUGAGACACGGUCCAGACUCCUACGGGAGGCAGCAGUGGGGAAUUUUGGACAAUGGGCGAAAGCCUGAUCCAGCCAUUCCGCGUGCAGGAUGAAGGCCCUCGGGUUGUAAACUGCUUUUGUACAGGACGAAAAGGUUUCUACUAAUACUAGGAGCUCAUGACGGUACUGUAAGAAUAAGCACCGGCUAACUACGUGCCAGCCGCCGCGGUAA
rnacentral:rRNA from 1 species